GACGAACGCUGGCGGCGUGCUUAACGCAUGCAAGUCGAACGAAGAGCGAUGGAAGCUUGCUUCUAUCAAUCUUAGUGGCGAACGGGUGAGUAACGCGUAAUCAACCUGCCCUUCAGAGGGGGACAACAGUUGGAAACGACUGCUAAUACCGCAUACGAUCCAAUCUCGGCAUCGGGACUGGAUGAAAGGUGGCCUCUAUUUAUAAGCUAUCACUGAAGGAGGGGAUUGCGUCUGAUUAGCUAGUUGGAGGGGUAACGGCCCACCAAGGCGAUGAUCAGUAGCCGGUCUGAGAGGAUGAACGGCCACAUUGGGACUGAGACACGGCCCAGACUCCUACGGGAGGCAGCAGUGGGGAAUCUUCCGCAAUGGACGAAAGUCUGACGGAGCAACGCCGCGUGAGUGAUGACGGCCUUCGGGUUGUAAAGCUCUGUUAAUCGGGACGAAUGGUUCUUGUGCGAAUAGUGCGAGGAUUUGACGGUACCGGAAUAGAAAGCCACGGCUAACUACGUG
rnacentral:rRNA from 1 species